CGGAGCGGAUUUCCAACCGCUCAACUCAACUCACAUGCUCUGAUCCCAUGUGCACAGAGACUGGCGGUACUACAGUUUAAAACUGAUGCCAAGCCCAGAAAGACAAUUCCCACAGACGCUCCCAUAGAGAAGUACAUUUACAACAUUCCUAAAACGAUACUUUGGUUAUCACCUUUGUGCAAAAAAUAUCAAUAUUUUUUUGCAUGAAUUGUCUUUGAGGGUUAUUAUUUUUUAAUCACUCACAGCCGAAGUAAUUAACGUUUUAUAUUCAUGCUGAUACAUGGACGAGAUUGGCUCACAAUGCACACGCAGAAGGAAUGGAACAGUGGAAUCACUCAUGCACUCGUCCAGUACCUGCUCUUAGUGAUCUAAUAUCACACAGUCUCAGCCUACCAGUUUAUGAAUCUGGAGACACUGGAGGUGUUUGGGGUGGAGAGGACAGUGGACUCAGUGGAGGACAUCCCAGCCACUUGGUAGUAAGGGCAUGCCGGGCGUGAGCCAACAGCCCAGCUCUGACCAACGGCGAAGUCAGCUCAAAAUUAUUUGAUUGCUUUUGAUAAAAAAAACAUUUAUCUGCCUCUCCAAUGAAAAAUAGUUUGAAAUGUCGAACAUAUAUUUACAGAAAAUAGAUUUAUGUUUCUGAAUGAUGCACCAUGCUGCUUUGUUGACAACAUGACUGAGCUGCACAAGAUUACUGUUCCAUUUGAGAAGGGCGCUCCUCCCUCACCGCGUUUUACCUUUCACGUCACUGACCAUAGCUGGGUGCACCGCAGCUCAGGUUAAUAGAACUCCCUCAGUGUUGGCACUGCUACUUCCUGCCUGAUGGGGUGUUACAGGAGGAAUUGAAGGGGGAGCAUGCCUCGUACCUGCGGCAGCACCCGGAUUUCCGCGCCAUGAUGGCCGACUUCUUGCAGGUCCUGUUACUACGAAAACCAAGCGACGUCAUCAUGUUCGCCUGUGAAGACUUCUCCCCUGGGGGGUCUCUUCAACACCUCUUCACCUUGAGGACAUACUGUGGCUUCCUCUCAAAGGCCCUUUAGUGAGGACAAUACUAUUCUGGUUAGCAGUUGUCACUAGUAUGUACAGUGGCCCUCGAGAUCCUAGAGUAUUGUUUUUACAUUUUGUAAUACUGUUUUUACUGUCUACUGUUUUUGUUUGCAUGAGCUGUAUUGAAACAUUCCAAUCAACUCAUGCUCAUCUGACUCAAAAAGUAAGCUAUUGUAUAACUUUGCUGCCCAGAUUGCCUAGGAAUGUAACAGCCUUUGAAUAAUACAAUUAUAUGUGUAUUAAUAGUCCAGACAAUCUUACAAGGCAGACUAAAGGUCUGCUUAAUAGCUGAAACAGUUCAGCAGAGUUUGUAAAUAUAUUAUGACUGCAUUUUGUGAUGUUUUGAAAUUUAGUGAGUGUGUUUUUCGGCUGUUUGGAUACAACAACAAAAAAUCCUAGAAGCAAGCCAAAGUCCAUGUCCCUUCGUCGGUGAUUGGUUAACAGUAGGGGUUCUUCAAUAAAUUCUUUGUUGUCAUUCAA